UCCUACGGGGGGCAGCAGUGGGGAAUCUUGCACAAUGGGGGAAACCCUGAUGCAGCGACGCCGCGUGAGCGAUGAAGCCCUUCGGGGUGUAAAGCUCUUUCGACGGGAACGAUAAUGACGGUACCCGGAGAAGAAGCUGCGGCUAACUACGUGCCAGCAGCCGCGGUAAUACGUAGGCAGCAAGCGUUGUUCGGAGUUACUGGGCGUAAAGAGUGCGUAGGCGGUGCUCCAAGUCUGGUGUGAAAUCUCCCGGCUUAACUGGGAGGGUGCGCCGGAUACUGGAGUGCUUGAGUGUGGGAGAGGAAAGCGGAAUUUCUGGUGUAGCGGUGAAAUGCGUAGAUAUCAGGAGGAACACCGGUGGUGUAGACGGCUUUCUGGACCACUACUGACGCUGAGGCGCGAAAGCGUGGGGAGCAAACAGGAUUAGAUACCCUUGU
rnacentral:rRNA from 1 species